CCCGUUAGGAAAAAAGGCUUAUCCCGUUUCCCAAUACGCAAUUUUAGCCGAAUCGUGACGCAAAACACGGCUUGUCUCGAAUCCCGCUAAAAUAAGGGUGUCUAUCCCGAAUCCCGACAGUUAUUUUCGGCCCAUCCCAGUGUCCCGAAAAUACCCGUUCUCCCCCUCAUACAUAGUAGACCAUAUUGUCACAUUGAUGUUUUCUUUCAUUACAGUUAGACUUCGAGAUCUACAUUUUCGACAAAGGCCUGGUGUAAUAUUAUUACGUACUUGAUGAAGGUUUAAUGACACGAAUGAGUACAAGUACAUUACAUUUUUCGACGAAGGCCUUCUGUAAUUUCAUACGCUUCUUACGCAACAUUCAAUAGAUUUAUUUACUGUAUUAUCAAUUCGACCAAGGCGAAUUCGACACUUCAAUUACACAAGAUGAUGCAUACCUUGUCCACAAUUGCAACGAAAGAUUCUCGCUGGUAUGGGGUUACAUGUAGAUGCCACAAACCUUGUCCGCAAUUGCAACCGAAGAUUUUUGGAUGAACCGCAAGACGAUCAGAUGAAGGCUUUCAGUUGUCCAGGCCAGGCCAGGUGACCAAUGACGAUGAUAGAUCGGGUUCGAUUCAAGCUAUACGCUUGGUGUAUUCGGUUGUCGUGUCUGGCGACUGAGUCUAACUCACGUCCAAAGCACGGUGACUGGGUCCCAGGCAUGCUUGCCACUUUGUUCUGCGGUCCUCAUCUAAGUUUCGACGGUGAUGACAUGGACUUAGGUUCAAAGUACGUGUUCCCCUUGAGUCAUUGUGGUUGAUUGAUGGGGGAAAUUAACGAUUGCGUGUCGCUAGUCAUUCACAAUAUCCCCUGUUGAAGAGUGUUGGCGGGAUAAGUCUUACGACUGUUAACAAUAGUAAGCAAUAGCUGGCCAGCGAUCCCCUACCUGAUCUCGAGGGGGAUGGAAUGACUGGGGUUAGAGGCCUGUUGUUAACCUGCGGAAUUUCGUCGGACGAAAUGUCAGGCGUGUCCGUGUGGGACUUGUGCUAAACCAGUUUAGUACUAAUGACGAAGACCUUGGGUCCUUUGAAUAACAACAGUGUUCUCAACCUCCUUGUGCCUCUCAAAGCUAACGUAUAUAUACCCGCUGAAAUCGACAAGACGGCGAUGAAGAAGGAGAGCCGGCCUCCAGCUCGAGAGCCGAGAAGACACUGGAUCGACCUGAAGAAUAUGUUGCUGCCAAUGUUGGAGCCAUACAGGGCAGCCCGAGCCAACAUUGUACAAGGGCCACAAGGUCCAGGGCCUCAAGGACAAGGGACACAAGGACAAGGGACACAAGGACAAGGGACACAAAAGACGAUGUUGCAAUCUGCGGGCCCUCUGCAGAUUGAGAUGAUGGCUGUCGAGAAGACCCAACCACUCAACCAAGAUCUACAAUUCGUGCUAUGGUAGAUGUGACUCUCAAAAGAUUUUGGAUGACGAAGGAAUCCAAUACAUAUAUGUCGCUCACAGAUACGGGCAGACGACCGAGAGUCGAGUGGAUUCAGUGGAUCGAAUGGUUGUGCAGAGGGAUAGCCAUGUGCAGGAGUGACGAACCACAGCUCAGCAAACGAUGCCUUGACAGAACAAUUCAAGGAGAACCUUCGCUGAGAUCAGAAAGGGAAGUUGUUUGCUGUGGGGAUGGAUUGGACACCGAAAUGUCUGUCAUUCUAAUAAACUAUAAUGACAAUCCAACUCCAACGGGACUCUCUGGACUUAGGGAAAGCUACGGACAUAGAGCCCUGACAUGAUAUCCUGCAGCCACCAUGAGGACAGCCUAUCUCAUACCUACGGAAGGGUGCCAUCACACGAAUGGAGAAGCAUCCGACAGGAGAAAGAUGGAUGUUGCUGACCAGCACAUCCUAACGAUGUAUUUUUGUCACCAUAGACCUAUUGUUUUUAUUGAAAUAUCUGAUUGAAAGGUGAUUUUAUUGAUAAAAAUCCUAAAAUUUCUGAUCGGAGAAGGCAUAUAUUUACCUUCUUAGGGCAAUGACAAUAUGUUGUCAUGGUUUAAAAAUAAUGCACGUAUAAAGAAGGAAUAACAUUUUUGAGGAGGGUUUCUUUGGUUACCAGGGGCACCAUGAUCCAAGAGAUCAACAAUUUUCUGGCAAAAUCUUUUGAAAGAAAGCGAAAUGUGGAGUGGGCGUUUAUGGAGAGCCAAUAGGGCAUGUCAGUACCCAAACAAAUAAGUCUUAAGCAAAAUUGAUUUUUAGCUGAUGAAGGCAGAAGCUAAUAGCCUAGGGCACAUCAGGACCCUACUGCUUGAAAUGGUUUUCUCCUGAAAUAAUCACCAACUUUAUCAGAUAUUUCAUUAUUAUAUCUCCAUCACUUGAGACAUGGGGUUCAUAUGAUUUCUUUCUUGCUUAAACCCCAGGCAAAAAAGGAACAUAUGUGUCUGCGAUGGAACGCAGGCCUUUUUUACUGUUUCUCGACCUCCCCAGUACCAUAGAAUCCACGGGCAUUGGUCUGAGCAGUUAAGCCGAGACCUUCUAACGUUGGCUGGCUCAGUUGCUUGGUAUCAUAUAAUACCAGAGACAACUGACCAACUACACAAAGAAGUUAAAGAAGUUGCGUUCCCUCAAUCACUUUUACCAAAUACCUGGGAACCAGGUAUUGAUGAAAAGACACAUUCAACUUAUAUAGUUGAAAACACUCUCAUUAUUUUAUUGAUAUUUGUGAGAAUAUCAAAAGAUUUCCUGACGACAGAAUCGACUGCUUCGAAAUCUUGCGAGGGCAUAUUUAUCAUGCUCUGCAGAUUAUGAAGACGGUCUUUUGCCCCACUGAGAAUUGGAUUAGACAUGGUACUGAAUGGUUUGAGAAAAGUGUAAUUAAAACGUCAACUUUGUAAGACGUUUCAUUUGUCCGGCAUGUAAUAAAUGUAGACCUUGUUAGUAAAAUAAAGAGAUCUUAGACUCCAACUUGCCAAAAAACUGGCAUACCCACUUCUGUCUGGUCUUGCCAUGUCGAAAGCUACGUCUUUUGUCAUGCAAAUAACAUGUCACCUCUCAACCUUUUGUGAUGCAAAGCGGCAGCCUCAAGGUGGAGUGGCCAUGAGAAAUGUGGUCCUUUUGUUAUUUAAAUUGGGCCCUUAAGCUGUUUAGUCAUGGUGUGAUGACAGCCUUGACCUGACCUAUUGUUAGCUGAAAUGGCUCAACUGCAGUCAUACACAAUAGGUUUAAUGCAUGCAUGAAUAGUAAAUGAACAUAUUAUUAGCAUGCAGAGUUGAAGUUGUGGAGUCUGACUAGUGUAAGAUCUCUAUUUAGCAAUGUCUUUCUUGAACAUUACAUCUUGUAAAGGAGUAGACCAUGUGUGAUAGUAUUACUAUCUUCUGGUUUUCUCCUGUUAUGGGCUUUCGGAGUGGCGCAGUACUUAAAUGUACAUGUCUGAUGUCAUUUAAAAAACUCAGUCGUUGAAGCCUGUCACCUGUGUGAUGGAGUCGGCAGCUCCCUCCGAUCGCGUAGGUUUUCUCCCGGGGACGGGUUUCCUCCUGCACGACAUUCCAAAUUGCCAUUACGAUAAUUCUUGGGAUGUACAACAAUAAAAAAGAUUUUCAAAAGAUAA